rnacentral:lncRNA from 1 species
UGCGGUAUAAAAUGUACAUUAAGAGUGUGCAAAUUUAAGUAUGAGAAAACUUCAAAUACCAUCUCUCUGAUUUCGUACUUUCUCACUUUAGUAUCAUGUGGUUUAAAGUAUAUCACUUUCGUACUAUAUGAUUUUAUUUUAUUUUUUUUGUUAUCUCCUUUACUAAUUUUUUUUAUUAAAUCAAUGAUAAAUUUAAAACUAAAAGGUGCUAAAAUGAAUAUUUGAUAAACUUUAGAUAGAAUAUCUGAAGUUUUUGUAUGUGAUUUAAUGAAAAGUUAACGCUGACGAAAAAAGAAAAAUAAAACUACAGGUACUAAAUAAAGUGAGAAGGUGUGAAAUUACAGAAAUGGUAUUUGAGGUUUACCUUUUAAGUAUUUCAGGGUGCAUGCAUGA